ensembl:lncRNA LINC01725 long intergenic non-protein coding RNA 1725
GGAAACAUGUAUUUUAUCCUGGGCUGAGGCCAGCUGGGGUUGGAAAGGCAGUCUCCAAUGAUUUGACAUUUCCCUGAUACCUCCUGGAGGAAAUACUCAGGUUCCUAGAGGGGAGUGUGUUCUGGUCUGACAGUUCAUGUCUAUUUUCAAGGCACCAUUACCUAUGGCAGGUGAUGAAGUACUCUGUAAGUUUUGACAUUGUGAAAUGUGGAAUGAUUCAAAAGGGUCUUGCCCUCAUAGACUGAGAAGACUGUACUCCUUGUGAGUCUUUACAGGUCUCUACUUCAUGUGUACACAUGUAUAGACAUAGAAAACCAUGCACAUGCAUGUACACAUGCUCUCUCACACACACAGACACACUGCUGAUUUUUUAACUUUGUACUUUUUAAAAAGGCUUUUAUUUUGGUGCUUUGUAAUAGGGAUAAAAUUUUGAAAAUACUGUGCUACGUAUUUUAUUACCCCUUAAAUCUUAUUCUCUUGAAACUUUUUACCUCUAAGGCUGAGCAUGAAUCAUAUGACGUCUGGGAAGGUGUGGGCUGGGGGAUGCAACACCCAGGGCAAAGAAAUCCAAACUAUUGUUGCUAUGGAUGGAAUGUUUGUGUUCCUCCAAAAUUCAUUCUAUUGAAACUCUGAUCCCCAGUGUGAUGCCCUUUGGAGAUGGGGUUUUUGGAAGGUAAUUAGGACAUGAGGGUGGAAUCCUCAUGAAAGGAUUAGUGCCCUCCUAGGGAGAGCUAGAAAGGAGCCUCCUUCCAUUCUAUUUCUCUGUCUUUGCCAUGUGAGUUACAAUGAGAAGAGAGCCAUCUGCAAACUCCAGGAAGAGGCCCUCACUAGGAAUCGAAAUGCUGGCUCUUUGAUCUUGGACUUUACAGCCUCCAGAACCAUGAGAAACAAAUGUUUGUUGUCUAAGCCACCCAAUGUAUGGUAAUUUCUUGUGCCAGCCUGAGCUGAUUAAGACAAUGAAAGGGAAGCCCUAGUUAUGAAGGAAGAGAAAAUAGAAAGAUUGUGCCCUCUGUCAUGUGCGAUGGUAGAAAGAGAAAAGAAAGAUGUAAGGAAAUGACAUGUUCUGAGCUCUAAUCUAGAAAAAAAUUUGGGAGGUUACCAAAUGGAGGUCACAGACUUCAAUGCAGCUUCAAGUUUGAGUAUUGAGACCCAAUUUUGGAGUCAUUCUCCAAGGGAGAUGGCCUGGUUCUCCAAGAACUUCAUUAAUUACAGCUGUUCAUUUCAAAGGUGAACACAGUAGGAUGUCCAGCUAGGGCACCUUCAAAGCCUAGACCAGUCAGCCUAACAUAGACAACUGCCUAGGUACCAGCAUGAGACCAAGGGCCUCUCCAUCCCCAAUCAUGAAGACUGUAACUUAUCCCCUGCACUCAAACAUCAUUUAGUGAAAGAAGAGGAGAAAGGAGAAACAGUUCCAUUAGGGAGUGAACUGUGAGUUGACUAAAAAAUUAUCCCAAAGAGGCUAUGUAACCCAGAGGAGCUGAAACAUCAUCAAUAGGCAAAUUUAAAGUUAAAGCCUGUUGCUCCCCACCCUUUACUCCCAUCAGCCACCCAGCAGGGUGGAAGCUUGUGAGAAAGAUUUUAUCACUUGUAGAAAAUAACGAAGCUCCCCUUUCUCUGCACAUCUGGUGUGUUAAUGGUGACCCUACCAACAUAAGUAAUACCUGCAGCACAGUUUUGGAAUCCCUGCUGGGACAAAUGUCAUUUCCUGGGUCUGUCAUUUUCUGGGCCCAGGAAAAGCAUCACUAGGUAAAACUUAUUAAUGCAACUGGAAGUCUUGCUUCUUUAACUUCAACAGCCUUCCAAGUUUGGUUGAUGCUUGUUCAAAGAAUGAAAAAUGCCUUUUGGCCUAUGUUUCCCUGUGCAGCUAAAGAUCCUAAUUGUGCCAUUACAAGCUGAUACAUAAAUCUGUGCCAAGAUUCUCAUAAUAUUAUAUCUGCAAAUGAGAUCUUGAAGGUAUUGUUCUCCCUUUCACCUGAUGACAGAACAGAAUGCUUCAUUUAAAAAUGGCAAAGAAGGAUGAUUGAGUUCAAUUCAGCCUGAUGUUUGGGUUUGUAUAUUUUAGGGCAAAUGAACUCAGAAGACAGAACAGUUUGAAUGCAUCAGGAAAACAGGCUGAAACAUCUGGAAAAAUCCCUUUGAGAUUGAAAGCAUAUGAUGCACAACAAAGCCAACAACAAAGUCUCAAUCUUAAUGCUUUUACUAUUUCUUGAUUGCAGUGAAGCAGAGUUGCCAGCCAUCUAUGGAUCCUAACUAAAUUGGUCCUUGUAAUACUCGGUAUUAUUUGCCAAGAUAUUGAAAAACCUCUAAACAGUGAGAAGGUCUGCAUACACUGGGGAACUUCCGGUGACUGCUGGGAUGCUGGCAUUGGUCUUUUCUUUCCCUGGGGGCAAAAACUGACCUUGGAUUUUUUAUCUUUUGGGGGAAAAUAUCACACCUUUUACAAAUAACCAGGUUUUCUUUUCUUUCUUCUGAUUUGGGUUAUUUUGUGUUAUCAAACAGUCUUGGGCUGGCUUAAAAGUCAUUUAUCUGUCCAUUUAUAUGUUUAUAUACUUAAGUAUUUAUCUAAUCAUUCAUGUAAUAUUUCGAUGCCUCACAUGUGCUAGAUAUUGUGCAAGGUGCCUGGGAUGGUGAAUUGACUAAAGCAGAUGCUGCGUGUACUUUCACAGAACUUUAGGUCUAUCGUGUUGCAUUAAGUUGAGGAGAAAAUUAUACUAUUUAUUGUAUAGAGGGUUGUUCUUAUUUCCAUAAAAAAUGAUAAAAAUAUUUUUGCCAAAGA